ACCAAUAGAUUUUAUAAUGUUAUACAAUUACAAUUUAUGUAGUCAUUUCGUUUCACACUUUACGUUAUACCACAGUCCCUUUUCAACUGGCCAAUAUUUAACUAUUAGUAACUUAAUUAACUUCAACAGACUGCAAAACCACAUGUAUUUGUUUAGUAAAUUCAUAUUUCUGUUGCUAAUUGAUAUAUAGCAUGUGUUUAUGCAUUCUAGUAUCUAGUAUGCCCACUUGGUUGACUGAUAGUAUGUAAAUGUACAAUCAUGUAUCUGUAAUUUCUUGGUUACUUAUGUGAUAUUUUAUAUACAAUGCUACAUAUACUGUAUACAGGAUUAUUUUCGCCCGUGUUAAUUUCGCCUUUCUUUACUUGCAAACGGUUUUACUCCGUCUUUAAUUCGCCAAUAUAAAAUUGUGAUAAAAGAGAGACAAUUUGAGACAUUGGAAUUCACUCAGUCUUGAUUUAGCCCGCUGACAAUGAGGGCGAAAAUAAAACAGGGGCUAAUAUUUCCCUGUAUACAAUAUGUAAACGAGGCCAGAUGUUUCUUGCUAGUGCAAUAUAUAGAUAGGAAUAAACACAAUUAUUGAUGA
rnacentral:misc_RNA from 1 species